AAAAAUUAGAGACACACAAAUUUGAUGUAAUUUAAUAAAAAUUUUAAACAGUCAAAGAGAACUUAUCAGGUAAUGGAGAUGGAGCUUCAGCGUGUUGGUGACAGUGGAGACGGAGUUUCGAUAGAGCUUCUACGGCACCAGGGGUGCCACUGGUUGGUUGCAGCGGCGGGAUUGGAUGGGGAGGUUUGACUGAGAGAAGAGAAAAGGAAGAAAGUGGGGAAAGGAAAAG
rnacentral:lncRNA from 1 species